UUAAGUUAUUAAGGGCGCACGGUGGAUGCCUUGGCACUAGAAGCCGAUGAAGGACGUUACUAACGACGAUAUGCUUUGGGGAGCUGUAAGUAAGCUUUGAUCCAGAGAUUUCCGAAUGGGGAAACCCAGCAUGAGUUAUGUCAUGUUAUCGAUAUGUGAAUACAUAGCAUAUCAGAAGGCACACCCGGAGAACUGAAACAUCUUAGUACCCGGAGGAAGAGAAAGAAAAUUCGAUUCCCUUAGUAGCGGCGAGCGAAACGGGAAGAGCCCAAACCAACAAGCUUGCUUGUUGGGGUUGUAGGACACUCUAUACGGAGUUACAAAGGACGACAUUAGACGAAUCAUCUGGAAAGAUGAAUCAAAGAAGGUAAUAAUCCUGUAGUCGAAAAUGUUGUCUCUCUUGAGUGGAUCCUGAGUACGACGGAGCACGUGAAAUUCCGUCGGAAUCUGGGAGGACCAUCUCCUAAGGCUAAAUACUCUCUAGUGACCGAUAGUGAACCAGUACCGUGAGGGAAAGGUGAAAAGCACCCCGGAAGGGGAGUGAAAUAGAACCUGAAACCGUGUGCUUACAAGUAGUCAGAGCCCGUUAAUGGGUGAUGGCGUGCCUUUUGUAGAAUGAACCGGCGAGUUACGAUUUGAUGCAAGGUUAAGCAGUAAAUGUGGAGCCGUAGCGAAAGCGAGUCUGAAUAGGGCGUUUAGUAUUUGGUCGUAGACCCGAAACCAGGUGAUCUACCCUUGGUCAGGUUGAAGUUCAGGUAACACUGAAUGGAGGACCGAACCGACUUACGUUGAAAAGUGAGCGGAUGAACUGAGGGUAGCGGAGAAAUUCCAAUCGAACCUGGAGAUAGCUGGUUCUCUCCGAAAUAGCUUUAGGGCUAGCCUCAAGUGAUGAUUAUUGGAGGUAGAGCACUGUUUGGACGAGGGGCCCCUCUCGGGUUACCGAAUUCAGACAAACUCCGAAUGCCAAUUAAUUUAACUUGGGAGUCAGAACAUGGGUGAUAAGGUCCGUGUUCGAAAGGGAAACAGCCCAGACCACCAGCUAAGGUCCCAAAAUAUAUGUUAAGUGGAAAAGGAUGUGGCGUUGCCCAGACAACUAGGAUGUUGGCUUAGAAGCAGCCAUCAUUUAAAGAGUGCGUAAUAGCUCACUAGUCGAGUGACACUGCGCCGAAAAUGUACCGGGGCUAAACAUAUUACCGAAGCUGUGGAUUGUCCUUUGGACAAUGGUAGGAGAGCGUUCUAAGGGCGUUGAAGCAUGAUCGUAAGGACAUGUGGAGCGCUUAGAAGUGAGAAUGCCGGUGUGAGUAGCGAAAGACGGGUGAGAAUCCCGUCCACCGAUUGACUAAGGUUUCCAGAGGAAGGCUCGUCCGCUCUGGGUUAGUCGGGUCCUAAGCUGAGGCCGACAGGCGUAGGCGAUGGAUAACAGGUUGAUAUUCCUGUACCACCUAUAAUCGUUUUAAUCGAUGGGGGGGACGCAGUAGGAUAGGCGAAGCGUGCGAUUGGAUUGCACGUCUAAGCAAUAAGGCUGAGUAUUAGGCAAAUCCGGUACUCGUUAAGGCUGAGCUGUGAUGGGGAGAAGACAUUGUGUCUUCGAGUCGUUGAUUUCACACUGCCGAGAAAAGCCUCUAGAUAGAAAAUAGGUGCCCGUACCGCAAACCGACACAGGUAGUCAAGAUGAGAAUUCUAAGGUGAGCGAGCGAACUCUCGUUAAGGAACUCGGCAAAAUGACCCCGUAACUUCGGGAGAAGGGGUGCUCUUUAGGGUUAACGCCCAGAAGAGCCGCAGUGAAUAGGCCCAAGCGACUGUUUAUCAAAAACACAGGUCUCUGCUAAACCGUAAGGUGAUGUAUAGGGGCUGACGCCUGCCCGGUGCUGGAAGGUUAAGAGGAGUGGUUAGCUUCUGCGAAGCUACGAAUCGAAGCCCCAGUAAACGGCGGCCGUAACUAUAACGGUCCUAAGGUAGCGAAAUUCCUUGUCGGGUAAGUUCCGACCCGCACGAAAGGCGUAACGAUUUGGGCACUGUCUCAACGAGAGACUCGGUGAAAUCAUAGUACCUGUGAAGAUGCAGGUUACCCGCGACAGGACGGAAAGACCCCGUGGAGCUUUACUGUAGCCUGAUAUUGAAAUUCGGCACAGCUUGUACAGGAUAGGUAGGAGCCUUUGAAACGUGAGCGCUAGCUUACGUGGAGGCGCUGGUGGGAUACUACCCUAGCUGUGUUGGCUUUCUAACCCGCACCACUUAUCGUGGUGGGAGACAGUGUCAGGCGGGCAGUUUGACUGGGGCGGUCGCCUCCUAAAAGGUAACGGAGGCGCUCAAAGGUUCCCUCAGAAUGGUUGGAAAUCAUUCAUAGAGUGUAAAGGCAUAAGGGAGCUUGACUGCGAGACCUACAAGUCGAGCAGGGUCGAAAGACGGACUUAGUGAUCCGGUGGUUCCGCAUGGAAGGGCCAUCGCUCAACGGAUAAAAGCUACCCCGGGGAUAACAGGCUUAUCUCCCCCAAGAGUUCACAUCGACGGGGAGGUUUGGCACCUCGAUGUCGGCUCAUCGCAUCCUGGGGCUGUAGUCGGUCCCAAGGGUUGGGCUGUUCGCCCAUUAAAGCGGUACGCGAGCUGGGUUCAGAACGUCGUGAGACAGUUCGGUCCCUAUCCGUCGUGGGCGUAGGAAAUUUGAGAGGAGCUGUCCUUAGUACGAGAGGACCGGGAUGGACAUACCUCUGGUGUACCAGUUGUCGUGCCAACGGCAUAGCUGGGUAGCUAUGUGUGGACGGGAUAAGUGCUGAAAGCAUCUAAGCAUGAAGCCCCCCUCAAGAUGAGAUUUCCCAACUUCGGUUAUAAGAUCCCUCAAAGAUGAUGAGGUUAAUAGGUUCGAGGUGGAAGCAUGGUGACAUGUGGAGCUGACGAAUACUAAUCGAUCGAAGACUUAAUCAA
rnacentral:rRNA from 1 species